rnacentral:tRNA from 1 species
AUACUCUUUAAAUUCUUAUGAAUCUUAAAGAGUAUGAAUUAGCAAAAGGCUUUAUGAAGAAAGCACUUUAAGCUUUUCCAACGAUUUAAGAUGAUUCCGGGGAAGGUUUUUCCGGUUUAUCCCGGAGGGCUUGUAGCUCAGUUGGUUAGAGCGCGCGCUYGAUAAGCGUGAGGUCGGAGGUUCAAGUCCUCCCAGGCCCACCAAUUUAUGCUCGUUUUUUGCUUAUUCUUGAGCCUUAUGAAGCUUAAGCGUGUCAAAGCCUCUUUAAUCUUUGUUCAUAGUUUAAAGAUUUAAUUUUAUCUUUCAGAAAUUAUUUGUUAAAUUUAUUUCAUUGCAAAUUUAUGUCAUUACAUUUGUCGAAUAGWGCCUUUGUUAGAGAAUACCUUUGUGUAAAGAGGAUUUUAACCGUCCCUUCAAGGGGGCAGAUAAAUUUAAAGAAUAAAAAUCAAMUUUAAGCAAUACAAAUCAAAAUAAUAUUGAUUAAAAGAGGACAAGUCAUUCAAGUUGAUCAAUUUUCUUGAGAUUGAUUUCAGAGAGCAUUCUUUAGGGGCCGUAGCUCACCUGGGAGAGCACCUGCUUUGCAAGCAGGGGGUCGUCGGUUCGAUCCCGUCCGGCUCCACCAUUUUAGGUCAU